GAGUACUUUUUAUGUAGUUAGGUGUGGCUUUGAAGAUUGCUGACAUUAGUUAUUCUGCCGCAGGAGGAAUAUAAGGCUACCACUUCUACAAGGACAGGGGGGAUAGAAGUUGCGACGUCAGGUGGUGGUAAAUACGUGCGCUGCCACCUUCUGCCUGGCAUCUGGGCUGAAGAAGUCGCCACUGCAAAUUUCUCCAGAGCAACGAAGCGACGCUAUCAGCCAGAGGAUUACGUUGGUAACUUUCAUGGUUGGGGGAACGAAAGGCACCAGCACCAACCAGCUUUGAUAUUCUGCUUACAAGAUCUCUCCUUUUACAAGAUGGCGGGGACGACUUGAUGCAGCCGGCCAGUGCGGCAGCAGCAAAGCGAUGCUGUUCUUUGCUACGGCAAGACUGCUUCGCUGCCUUUUCUCUGGCACUGCUCCUCCCCCGUGGGUGAUUAGUAAGUUAGUAACAUGUUGCAGUCGAGCACCUCGCUUUCUUUCUCAUAUUUUUCUCCUGUUCAUGCAGGUUUUCCUGUAUCCAAGUCUAGAUUCCUCUUUGCUCGAUCGAGUUUUACAGCCAGAUUACUUUCCACUCGACUACUUCGAUCCAACUUAAAAGCUCAAUGAAAGACAUAGACCUUCCAAAUUGCUUCUCAGGACUUUUUCACGACCAGAUUGUCUUUGCUCCAAGUUUUAGCACUGUGGCCAAACUAUAAACUUUGCGGAGGCGGUGCGAUCUUUAAAGCCAUGGCACAGAAAUUUAUACGCGAAACGAUUGCUUGCUUGGAGAGUAGCCGCGCGCCGUCGACUUAUAAAUGGGUGGAACAUGGUGGCGGCUGACUGGCGUUGACUUGGAGCGAGUUCUUCGUCGAAUUUUUUUUUUUUCCUUUUCUUUGGUGUCGUUGAGCGUGUCAAAUUGACUGACCAACGCGCAAUGCAAGCAGGAGGUCAAUGGAAAGAUUUAGAGUUCAUCAAUGCCAAGCAUUAAGAUUUAAAUAUCA